GUGGGUAUAGCUCAGCCGGUAGAGCACUGGAUUGUGGAUCCAGGUGUCGCGGGUUCAAGUCCCGUUACUCACCCCA
rnacentral:tRNA from 1 species